rnacentral:lncRNA from 1 species
GGAGAUCAGAAGGAACUUUUGCUCAUGAGCAAACAUCUCCUAUGGAAGAGCUGGGAAUAGAGAAACUGAGCAAAUGCUCACUGCUUUGUGCAAACAUCACAUAGCUCAGUGCUGCUGAGGAUGGAUGUCCCUUCCGGCAGCACCAGACCUGUUGUUACAGGUAGGGGCCUGCAAGAAGAUGCAACUUGGAGACGUGAUUUCGUGGAGAUGUCAUUUAACAGGAUGAACACUGCAGGGAAGUUUAGCAAUGCUGAGCCUGGACCUGGGUGGAAACCGAGGAUUAGUACUAACCCUGUGGCCAGCUGGCUGCGGCUGCAGCAGAAAUUGUCCUUUUGUGAAGGGGACAUUUGCAGCGGGUCGCACGCAAGCCAUAUGGGUGUGGAAGGCUGAUGGCUGCUGCAGUGGAAGACUCAGCUCCAUUUGCUCCUCACGCAUCCCAGGGACAGCUUGCAGGAUGGCUCUUUGCCGCUGCUCCUAAAAGGCAUCCUGGCCAAAAAUAAAAUGUACCGAGGCAUUUUAAAUUCAGCCUGGAGGCGAUCUCUGUCUGCAGCCCUUGGUUCACAUCACCAUCUGG